UACGUAGGGGGCUAGCGUUGUCCGGAAUCAUUGGGCGUAAAGCGCGUGUAGGCGGCCUUGUAAGUCCGUUCUGAAAGCCCGGGGCUCAACCCCGGGAGGCGGAUGGAUACUGCAAGGCUCGAGUCCGGAAGAGGCGAGUGGAAUUCCCGGUGUAGCGGUGAAAUGCGCAGAUAUCGGGAGGAACACCAAUGGCGAAGGCAGCUCGCUGGGACGGUACUGACGCUGAGACGCGAAAGCGUGGGGAGCAAACAGG
rnacentral:rRNA from 1 species